rnacentral:lncRNA from 1 species
GUGGCUAGUGAGAUGGGGCUCAAGGAAAGUAAACAGGAACUGAAGAACCACAGAGAAUCGUGGUGGUUACCCGUUGUAUCUGAGGUGUGGGAACACGUGAGGACGUCGAACGUCAGUCCAACCUGACUGAACUCGGACAGCCAGAGUUCCCGAGCCCUGGAUAAUCUGGAGGAACUUAGUUCAUCAGCUCCCAGGAUCAUGUCUUUGGUACUUGUUUGCCAGACAAAGGGGAGUCUGCCUUGCUCACCUCUGUGGAUUUGGUGGCCAUGCUGCCUCUCCCAUGACAUUGCCUUCCUACUUCCAACUCAGAGCAUGAGGCCAAAGGUGCUUUCCAGCUCAAACACUGC